AACGAACGCUGGCGGCAGGCCUAACACAUGCAAGUCGAACGGGCGUAGCAAUACGUUAGUGGCGCACGGGAGAGUAACGCGUGGGAAUCUACCUUUUGGUUCGGAAUAACGUCGGGAAACUGACGCUAAUACCGGAUAAGCCCUUCGGGGGAAAGUUUUAUCGCCGAAAGAUGAGCCCGCGUUAGAUUAGCGAGUUGGUGAGGUAAUGGCUCACCAAGGCUACGAUCUAUAGCUGGUCUGAGAGGAUGACCAGCCUCACUGGGACUGAGACACGGCCCAGACUCCUACGGGAGGCAGCAGUGGGGAAUAUUGGACAAUGGGGGAAACCCUGAUCCAGCCAUGCUGCGUGAAUGAUGAAGGCCUUCGGGUUGUAAAGUUCUUUUGGUGGGGACGAUAAUGACGGUACCCACAGAAUAAGCUCCGGCUAACUUCGUGCCAGCCGCCGCAGUAA
rnacentral:rRNA from 1 species